rnacentral:rRNA from 1 species
GCAUAUCAAUAAGCGGAGGAAAAGAACCUAACUAGGAUUCCCUUAGUAACGGCGAGUGAACCGGGAAAAGCUCAAAUUUGUAAUCUGGCUGUCUUCGAUAGUCCGAGUUGUAAUCUAUAGACGUGUUUUCCGUGCUGGACCGUAUCUAAGUCCCUUGGAACAGGGUAUCAAAGAGGGUGACAAUCCCGUGCUUGAUACGACCACCAGUGCUCUGUGAUACACGCUCUACGAGUCGAGUUGUUUGGGAAUGCAGCUCAAAAUGGGUGGUAAAUUCCAUCUAAAGCUAAAUAUUGGCGAGAGACCGAUAGCGAACAAGUACCGUGAGGGAAAGAUGAAAAGCACUUUGGAAAGAGAGUUAAACAGUACGUGAAAUUGUUGAAAGGGAAACGAUUGAAGUCAGUCGUGUUCUUUGGAUUCAGCUAGUUCUUCUAGUCUACUUCCAUUGAACGGGUCAACAUCAGUUUUGCCGGUGGAUAAAGAUAGUAAGAAUGUANCUCCCCGGGAGUGNUAUAGACUAUUAUUGCAUACACUGGGUGAGACUGAGGACUGCAGCUCGCUUUUGGCCGGUCUUCGGACACGUUCGAGCUUAGGAUGUUGACAUAAUGGCUUUAAACGACCCGUCUUGAAACACGGACC